GCUCAACAGUUCUGAUGGUUUCUCUCUCUCUCUCUCUCUCUCUCUCUCUCUCUCUCUGUGUGUGUGUGUGUGUGAGAGAGAGAGAGAGAGAGAGAGAAAGAGAAUCCCAGUGCACAGUCAAUCUG